GACAGAGGGUGCAAACGUUGUUCGGAAUUACUGGGCGUAAAGCGCGUGUAGGCUGUUCGGAAAGUCGGGUGUGAAAGCCCCGGGCUCAACCCGGGAAGUGCACUCGAAACUCCCGAACUGGAGUCCUGGAGAGGAAGGCGGAAUUCUCGGUGUAGAGGUGAAAUUCGUAGAUAUCGAGAGGAACAUCGGUGGCGAAGGCGGCCUUCUGGACAGUGACUGACGCUGAGACGCGAAAGCGUGGGAGCAAACAGG
rnacentral:rRNA from 1 species